rnacentral:tRNA from 1 species
AGCCUAGUGGUAACGCUUCCGCCUUGUAAGCGGUAGAUCGGGGUUCAAAUCCCGG